GCCGAGGUGGCGGAAUAGGCAGACGCACCGGACUUAAAAUCCGGUGGGAUUUAACUCCCGUGUCGGUUCGAGUCCGACCUUCGGUACCA
rnacentral:tRNA from 1 species